UUCAUUUCAUAUGGAAAGAUCAAAACUUAUUGAAUAAUAAGGUUUCUAUUAAUUUAAUUUAACAAUUAGGUUUAGUUGACAAAAAUUGAGAUUACAAACCAAAAAAAAAAGAGGAUUUGUUUUGGAAUAAAAAUGAUUACAAUUUUUUUCCAUAUAGAAAACCUAAACUUAUAAAACAAUAAGGAUUUUCAAAAUUUAAAAUUUAAUUUAGUUCGUUUAGUUGAAUUUUUUUUUGGAAAUAUAAGUUACAUAUCAUGAUUAUAGGAAGCUAAAAACUUUCAAAAUAAAAAUGUUUACAAAAUAUAUUUGCAUACUGUUAACAAAGAUUGUCAGAAUGCCAAAAGAUCAGAAAUAUAUUUAUGUAAUUAGAAAACUAUGGCUCUUAGAUUUUAUGCAUAACCUGAAAAUAUUGAGUUUAACAUGUGUAUCAAGAAUAAACUUAUCCCUACAUUUAAUCCUACCUAUAUAUAUAUAUAUAUACUUCACCAACUCGACAACAGCUUAGACCUAAAAUAAUUUCAGUCAAACGCAAUUCACCAAUAUUAUUUUUGACAGGAAAAAAAUCACUAACAUCAGAAACUUAAAACCUUUCAAGUCCACCUAACAAAUCCAAGUGAAAGUAUCUUCAAAACUUUCAAGUGAAGGUAUCAUCAUAUCAGACUCCACUUUGCGAAUCAAGAAUUCUGACAUUGAAGAGGCACAUGAGUCAAAAGCGCGGAAAUAACUAUGCGUUUUAAACUAAAUAACUAAUCUAUUAUUUUAUUAAACUAAAGAAUUCAGUUUAUAUUAAUACUACAUUUAAGUAACAAAUCCGUUCUAUUUUAUUUAUUAAUAUAAUAAUAAUGAUAUAAGUCUAUUAAUAUAUACAAUUGUACAUUAAUCUUAAUGAAAUAAACAGAUUCUUCAAAAACCUCACCAAAUAUAUAAAAUAAAAUAAAAUAAAAUUUGCCAAAAAAUUGUACUGUUAAUAUUUGUAAAACUGAAGCAUCACAAUCAUAAUAUAUCCACCAACAUCUACACAUUCAUGAAUAUAUAUUAAAAUGAUCUAAAUAUAAUAAUUUAAGUCAAAUCGGAUUAUAUAUCGGUCACUCAUUAGUUCAACUGGUAGUCAAAUCCCGGGUUUUAGCAGUUUUUGUAGGUUUAUAGGAUUUUUAACUAACGAGCUUUUCUUGAAAAAUAAACCGGAUUAAAUAUUUUUCCAUAUAGAAAACCUAAACUUAUAAAACAAUAAGGAUUUUCAAAAUUUAAAAUUUAAUUUAGUUCGUUUAGUUGAAUUUUUUUUUGGAAAUAUAAGUUACAUAUCAUGAUUAUAGGAAGCUAAAAACUUUCAAAAUAAAAAUGUUUACAAAAUAUAUUUGCAUACUGUUAACAAAGAUUGUCAGAAUGCCAAAAGAUCAGAAAUAUAUUUAUGUAAUUAGAAAACUAUGGCUCUUAGAUUUUAUGCAUAACCUGAAAAUAUUGAGUUUAACAUGUGUAUCAAGAAUAAACUUAUCCCUACAUUUAAUCCUACCUAUAUAUAUAUAUAUAUACUUCAC
rnacentral:lncRNA from 1 species